AUUGAACGCUGGCGGCAGGCUUAACACAUGCAAGUCGAGCGGGGUGAUGGUGCUUGCACUAUCACUUAGCGGCGGACGGGUGAGUAAUGCUUAGGAAUCUGCCUAUUAGUGGGGGACAACAUCUCGAAAGGGAUGCUAACACCGCAUACGUCCUACGGGAGAAAGCAGGGGAUCACUUGUGACCUUGCGCUAAUAGAUGAGCCUAAGUCGGAUUAGCUAGUUGGUGGGGUAAAGGCCUACCAAGGCGACGAUCUGUAGCGGGUCUGAGAGGAUGAUCCGCCACACUGGGACUGAGACACGGCCCAGACUCCUACGGGAGGCAGCAGUGGGGAAUAUUGGACAAUGGGGGGAACCCUGAUCCAGCCAUGCCGCGUGUGUGAAGAAGGCCUUAUGGUUGUAAAGCACUUUAAGCGAGGAGGAGGCUUUUUUGGUUAAUACCCAAGAUGAGUGGACGUUACUCGCAGAAUAAGCACCGGCUAACUCUGUGCCAGCAGCCGCAGUAA
rnacentral:rRNA from 1 species